CCUACUUGGCUCAGCGGUUAGAGUCUUGCUCUCAUAAGGCAAUGGUCAUUGGUUCAAAUCCAAUAGUAGGUA
rnacentral:tRNA from 1 species